GGUUCGAUCAUGGCUUCAGAUUGAACUAUAUGGGAUACUUACACAUGUGGCGCUGAACGGCAGCACGACUUUGGUCUCCAGGCGAGAGUGGCGAACGGGUGAGUAAUGGUCGAACGUGCCUAGUAGCGGGGAGAAUUUACGCGAAAGCGAAGCAAUACCGCAUACGCCCUUCGGGGGAAAGCGGGGACCUUCGGGCCUGCACGAAGGAGUGGCCGAUAUCGGAUUAGCUAGUUGGUGGGGUAACGGCUCACCAGCAUGGACGAUCCGUAGCUGGUUUUGAGAGGGAUUGACCACGACUGGGACUGAGAUGAUCGGCCUGUGACUCCUACGGGAGGCAGCAGCGGGGAAUUUUGACACGGGGAAAACCCUGAUCCAGCCAUCCUGCGUGCAAAUAUGAAGGCUCUCGGUUGUAAAGUACUUUCUUUGUAGGAAGCGGCAUCGGGAUAAUACCUCGUGCAACUGACGCAGUACCUUAGUCAUACCGGCUGUCACGUGCCAGCAGCCGCGGUAAUACGUAGGGUGCAAGCGUUAAUCGGAAUUACUGGGCGUAAAGCGUGCGCAGGCGGUUCGGAAAAGAAAGAUGCAGUCCGAGAGUUAACUUUGAACUGCAUUUUUAGACCACUUGAGCGAGUGUGCCAGAGGAGUGUGGAAUUUCCGCGUAGCAGUGAAAUGCGUAGAUAUGCGGAGGAACACCGAUGAUGGUUACACAGCCUCCUGAUAACACUGAUUUACACAGAGCAGCGUGUAUGUUAGAUUAGAUACCCGGUAAAUCACGCCCUAAACGACAAUCAUUGCUGGGGCCUCGCCCGGUAGCGCAGUUAACGCAGAAGUUGACCGCCUGGGGAGUACGGUCGCAAGAUUAAAACUCAAAGGAAUUGACGGGAUCGCAUCAAGCGGUGGAUGAUGUGGAUUAAUUCGAUGCAACGCGAAAACCUGCUACUUCCAUCUUGACAUGUCUGGAAUCCCGAAGAGAUUUGGGAGUGCCGCAGAGAACCGGAACACAGGUGCUGCAUGGCUGUCGUCAUCGCCGUGAGAUGUUGGUUAAGUCCUGCAACGAGCGCAACCCUUGUCAUUAGUUGCUACGAAAGGGUACUGACGACUUCGCCGGUGACAAACCGGAGGAAGGUGGGAUGACGUCAAGCCUUCUCGGCCUGGCGGGUGGGGCUUCACACGUCAUACAAUGGUUGGACAGGGUCGCCAACCCGCGAGGGGGAGCCAAUCCCAGAUCCCGAUCGUAGUCCGGACUGCAGUCUGCAACUCGACUGCGUGAAGUCGGAAUCGCUGCGAAUCGGUGUGGUGGACCGCAUGUCGGCGGUGAAUAUGUCUCCCGGGUCUGUACACACCGCCCGUCACACCAUGGGAGUGGGUUUUACCAGAAGUGGUUAUCAACUGUAAGGAGGGUUAUCACGAAUGUAGGAUUCAUGACUGGGCAAGUCGUAACAAGGUGCAG
rnacentral:rRNA from 1 species